rnacentral:lncRNA from 1 species
GUAAACUUACAAAUGUGGAAAGAGGAACAAAGAGUGCACAUCAAUCCCUUGAUCUCUCAAGUUGGAUGGAUCCACCUUCCCUUGCCUAUGACCUAAGCUUAAUUCUAAUUUAAUUGCUCUGUCUUUGAACUCUCUGAAAAUGCGAUGAUGUUUUGUAAUGAGAGUGAAUUGCUAUUUAUAGGCCUCAAGUGGUCGCUCAGCCACCACCUGGUCGCUCAGCCAUCAACUUGCCUUGGUGAAGGGGCUUUCUUGACACGUACAAAAGUUGAAGCUUGAUGCCCAAGAUUUUCUUUAAAUUGGUCGCUCAGCCACCACCUGGUCGCUCAGCCACCAACUUGGCUUGGUGAAGAGGUUAUUUGACACGUGUGGAAUUCUUUGCUUGUUUCCCAAGAUUUCUUUUAUAUUGGUCGCUCAGCCAUCACCUGGUAGCUCAGCCACCAGCCUCUUGGAAAAAGAAUUAAAUUUUGCUCCUCUUUUAAUCAUGAAAGCUUAAAAAGCUAGGAUUAGGACAUAAAAUAUCUUUAGUUAAAAUGUACAACGUUUUGGGGUUUUAACUAUAAAUAUCUUUGAAAAUAAGUCGAUAAUUGCCUUAAUUGAGUAAGAAUUUUAACUACUUUUUGGCACUUAUCAACUCUCCCCAACUUAGGACUUUGUUUGUCCUCAAACAAAAGGUAAUAUCACAAUAUAGACAAAUUUAAAAUUUGCAAUGUCAAGAGUGGGUUUGAAAUCAAUCAAAGUUUGAAAAUCUUCUUCUUCUAGCAUAAGUAAAACAAUGCCUACUAAAGACUAAUCCUCAAAAUAUUCAAAGAAACAAAGCAUGAUCAUGAAAUGAUUCCUAUGCCUAAGCAAAAUUCUCAACAUUCUUAUCAAACAA